GGUCUUACCAAGGAAAGAGACCAAGAGCCGUAAUAUUUGCGAGUCUAGCGGCCCACCUCAAAAACCUUGUCCCAUGAGCAGUUCUAAAAAUGCCACAGGAGCGCAAUCUUGGGAGGGGAACACUACAGCUGCCUCUAAUUGUAUCGCGUGUCCGAAUCAACAAAUGCAGCAACGCUACCAACAACCGACAACCCAAAAUUGGGAACCCAACAACGAUACAAUUUUGUUUGAACCUGAUCUGAACAGCACCAUGAUUGGGCGGAAUGAACGUUGUUCCAGAGAAUAUGAGCCCCAAGGAAUGCCCCAGGCAAGAUCAAAUUCGAGGCA